rnacentral:rRNA from 1 species
CAGUUAAAAAGCUCGUAGUUGGAUUUCUGGGAGGGUGCCAAUGUCCGCCGACGUGCGUGCGCAGCGGCGCCCUUCCAUCCUUCUGUUAACGCCUCUUGGCAUUCAUUUGCUGGUGGCGGGCUCAGAUAUUUUACCUUGAGAAAAUUAGAGUGUUUCAGGCAGGCUAGGCCGGAAUACAUUAGCAUGGAAUAAUGGAAUAGGACUACGGUCUCUUUGUUGGUUUGAGGGACUGCAGUAAUGAUUAAUAGGGAUAGUUGGGGGCAUUAGUAUUUAAUUGUCAGAGGUGGAAUUCUCGGAUUUGUUAAAGACUAACUUAUGCGAAAGCAUUUGCCAAGGAUGUUUUCAUUAAUCAAGAACGAAAGUUAGGGGAUCAAAGACGAUCAGAUACCGUCCUAGUCUUAACCAUAAACUAUGCCGACUCGGGAUCGGGGGCGCGAACUAUCCGCCUUCGGCACCGUAUGAGAAAUCCAAGUCUUUGGGUUCUGGGGGGAGUAUGGUCGCAAGGCUGAAAC